rnacentral:rRNA from 1 species
AACCCAAGGACUGACGGUGUCCCACCCCACUAGAGGAGCCUGUCCUAUAAUCGAUGGUCCCCGAUUCACCUAACCUUUCUUUGCUAAUCAGCCUGUAUACCUCCGUCGUAAACUUACCAUAUGAAUGGUCCAAUGAUCCAUCUAUACGUCAGGUCAAGGUGCAGCUUAUGGAAAGGCAGAGAUGGGCUACAAUUUCUAACUUAGAAUAAACGAAAUACUGCAUGAAACACAGGCAUGAAGGAGGAUUUAGUAGUAAAGAGAAACAAAUGUGUUCUCUUUAACCCGGCCCUGGGACACGUACACACCGCCCGUCGCCCUCUUC